rnacentral:lncRNA from 1 species
GCCUGCUGAGAGCUGGGGAUACAGUGAGAGCUGGGGAACAGAACAGGGAUGGUCCUAAUCUUUAUGGAGAACCAUUGGGUGGUCCAUUGGGUGAGAUGGACAUUUCUCCAGGAAUCCCACAAAAAUGGAAUCAUGAACUUCAAGAAGAGGUCAUGUAGGGAAAGGACACAAUGGGGUAAGAGUAUAUAACAGAGGGCCUGACUUAGUGGGAAGAGAGGGUGGACAGGGGAGACUCAAAAUGGCUUAAGCAAAAUAUCAAAGAAGAGCUAAGUGAAAGUAGAAUAUUGAGGAAAGAAUAUUCCCUGCAGAAGCCCUGUGUUGUUUUUUUUUUUUUCGAUUUAUAAAUAGUUUAUCCUGUUCACAUUAUGCAGAAUUUCAGUGUCGUUAAUCCACAAUGUUAGUACGGUAACAGAAACAUAAAGGAGAAAAAAGGCAGAUGGGGGCAAAAGAUCCAUGUUUAGCUGGUCCGAAAGUAGUGUUUUCUCAGUUGGCUGUUCACAAUCAGUUACAGAUCAAACUUCUUGUUCUACUAUUUCCCCCCUUGACUAGUUGUUAAAAAAAAAAGACACCCAGGAUUACCAGGUCUCUUAGAUUUAUAUUUAUUUCCAGGUUUAACUUACUAGGUCAAGUCUUUUUCUAAUUAUUAUUUUUGAGACACGGUCUGGUCUGUCACUCUGUCGCCCUGGCUGGAGUACAGUGGCAUGAUCACAGCUCACUGUAGCCUCCACCUCAUAGGCUCAAUUGACCCUCCCAUCUCAGCUACUAAAGUAGAUAGUACUAUAGGUGUGAACCACCAUGCCUCGCUACUUUUUUUUUAAAUUUAUUUUGUUUAA